rnacentral:rRNA from 1 species
AUUGAACGCUGGCGGCAUGCCUUACACAUGCAAGUCGAACGGUAACAGGUCUUCGGAUGCUGACGAGUGGCGAACGGGUGAGUAAUACAUCGGAACGUGCCCGAUCGUGGGGGAUAACGCAGCGAAAGCUGUGCUAAUACCGCAUACGAUCUACGGAUGAAAGCGGGGGAUCGCAAGACCUCGCGCGGACGGAGCGGCCGAUGGCAGAUUAGGUAGUUGGUGGGAUAAAAGCUUACCAAGCCGACGAUCUGUAGCUGGUCUGAGAGGACGACCAGCCACACUGGGACUGAGACACGGCCCAGACUCCUACGGGAGGCAGCAGUGGGGAAUUUUGGACAAUGGGGGAAACCCUGAUCCAGCCAUGCCGCGUGCAGGAUGAAGGCCUUCGGGUUGUAAACUGCUUUGUACGGUAACGAAAGGUACCUUCUAAUAAAGAGGGCUCAUGACGGUACCGUAAGAAUAAGCAACCGGCUAACUACGUGCCAGCAGCCGCGGUAAG